GAUGAACGCUGGCGGCGUGCCUAAUACAUGCAAGUCGAGCGAACAGACGAGGAGCUUGCUCCUCUGACGUUAGCGGCGGACGGGUGAGUAACACGUGGAUAACCUACCUAUAAGACUGGGAUAACUUCGGGAAACCGGAGCUAAUACCGGAUAAUAUAUUGAACCGCAUGGUUCAAUAGUGAAAGACGGUUUUGCUGUCACUUAUAGAUGGAUCCGCGCCGCAUUAGCUAGUUGGUAAGGUAACGGCUUACCAAGGCAACGAUGCGUAGCCGACCUGAGAGGGUGAUAGGCCACACUGGAACUGAGACACGGUCCAGACUCCUACGGGAGGCAGCAGUAGGGAAUCUUCCGCAAUGGGCGAAAGCCUGAAGGAGCAACGCAGCGUGAGUGAUGAAGGUCUUCGGAUCGUAAAACUCUGUUAUUAGGGAAGAACAAAUGUGUAAGUAACUAUGCACGUCUUGACGGUACCUAAUCAGAAAGCCACGGCUAACUACGUG
rnacentral:rRNA from 1 species